GAUGAACGCUGGCGGCGUGCCUAAUACAUGCAAGUCGAGCGAACAGAUAAGGAGCUUGCUCCUUUGACGUUAGCGGCGGACGGGUGAGUAACACGUGGGUAACCUACCUAUAAGACUGGGAUAACUUCGGGAAACCGGAGCUAAUACCGGAUAACAUUUGGAACCGCAUGAUUCUAAAGUGAAAGAUGGUUUUGCUAUCACUUAUAGAUGGACCCGCGCCGUAUUAGCUAGUUGGUAAGGUAACGGCUUACCAAGGCGACGAUACGUAGCCGACCGGAGAGGGUGAUCGGCAACCCUGGAACGGAGACACGGUCCAGACUCCUACGGGAGGCAGCAGUAGGGAAUCUUCCGCAAUGGGCGAAAGCCUGACGGAGCAACGCCGCGUGAGUGAUGAAGGGUUUCGGCUCGUAAAACUCUGUUAUUAGGGAAGAACAAACGUGUAAGUAACUGUGCACGUCUUGACGGUACCUAAUCAGAAAGCCACGGCUAACUACGUGCCAGCCGCCGCCGUAAAAC
rnacentral:rRNA from 1 species